AGAGACUUGUCCGGUGCCGAUCUCCUUAAAUCUUUCCCACAAAGCUGAUCCGUUUUAUUUUCAGUGUAACAGUUGGUGCUUCCCAAACAAGUCAGUUGCUCGGCUCCUGAUAGAAAUCAGAGGAAGUUUUUGUACAGCCCUCUGCUUCUCAAUCAGAAAAUAAAACUGUUUUCUUCCUUGGAUUAGUCUAUGUACUCCUGGGUACUUUUUUUUUUUUCUUAAUUUUUGGCACAAUUCCUGGAGGGCUCUUAAUUCUACAGAGUUGUUACAGGCUUGGAACAGGAAACGAAGUCCUCUGAACAAAUACGAGCAGCCGAAAAUAGCCCUUCCGGAGCCAGCCUGUGACACCCUUACUGAGCUGAACUGUGCACCGAGCAUGGAAGAGGAGCCCAUUUACGAAGAAGUGAAUUGACAGCAAACUCAACAGACCAAUGCUUUUGCCAGGAAAGCCCUCAGCAGGGAGCCUGCACCAGCCUCACCUCCCAGCGGGGAGGGUGUUGAAAGCUCUUGGGUCUAGCAAUUAA